AUGGCGGUCGGGAGCUCGCCGACGCCGCCGGAGAUCCGCUCGCCGGAGCGGGACAGGCCGGAGGAUGCGGCGGGCGCGGAGGGCGAGGAGGAGGAGGAGGAGUUCGGUGACGCCUUCGAUAUACCCCAUAAGAACGCAUCCCACGACAGCUUGCUCCGAUGGAGGCAAGCUGCUCUUGUGCUGAAUGCUUCACGUCGGUUUAGAUAUACUCUAGACCUUAAAAAGGAGGAAGAGAAAGAGAUAAUUAGAAGAACAAUCCGAUCACAUGCACAAGUGAUACGGGCAGUAUUUCUUUUCAAAGAAGCCGGAGAAAAUGAUCCCAGAGAAGCUUAUACUGGUAUAAAAUUUACAACGGCCUCUCGAGGUUUUCCAAUUGAAAUGGAAAAGCUUAAAACUUUAAACAGAGAUCAUGACAGUGUUCUUCUUCAGGAAAUUAGAGGAGUUAAGGGGCUGUCAGAUUUAUUAAAGAGUAAUUUAGACAGGGGAAUUAAUCCAACUGAGGAUGAAUUGUUACAAAGGAGGGAUGUUUUCGGAGCAAAUACAUAUCCACGCAAGAAAAGAAAAAGCAUACUGCGUUUUGUAUUUGAUGCAUGCAAAGAUUUAACUCUCAUCAUUCUAAUGGUAGCUGCUGCCAUAUCUCUUACGUUGGGCAUGGCCACAGAGGGUGUCAAGGAAGGAUGGUAUGAGGGGGGGAGUAUUUUUUUAGCUGUUUUUCUUGUGAUACUUGUCACCGCAACCAGUGAUUACAGGCAAUCACUUCAGUUUCAACAUCUGAAUGAGGAGAAACAGAACAUACAAGUGGAGGUUCUUAGAGGUGGUAAAAGAUUUCGAACUUCAAUAUUUGACCUUGUUGUGGGUGAUGUGGUUCCCCUGAAUAUUGGUGACCAAGUUCCUGCUGAUGGUAUCCUGAUAUCUGGCCAUUCUCUUGCAAUUGACGAAUCAAGUAUGACUGGGGAAUCAAAAACUGUUCACAAGGAUCAAAAGGCUCCGUUCUUGAUGUCUGGUUGCAAGGUUGCAGAUGGCUAUGGUUCUAUGUUGGUAACAGGUGUGGGUAUCAACACUGAAUGGGGCCAGUUGAUGGCUAACCUUUCUGAAGAUAAUGGUGAAGAAACCCCAUUGCAGGUGCGUUUGAAUGGUGUUGCUACUUUUAUUGGCAUGGUGGGUCUGUCAGUAGCUGGUGUUGUACUUGGCGUGCUUGCGAUAAGAUAUUUUACUGGACAUACCAAGAAUCCGGAUGGGACUGUUCAAUUUCGGGCUGGAACUACUGGUCUCAAACAAGGAUUUAUGGGUGCAAUCAGAAUUUUAACAAUCGCCGUAACCAUCGUAGUUGUUGCUGUGCCUGAGGGACUUCCACUGGCCGUAACAUUGACACUUGCGUAUUCAAUGCGAAAGAUGAUGCGAGACAAGGCGCUGGUGAGGCGGCUCUCAUCUUGUGAAACAAUGGGAUCAGCGACUACUAUAUGUAGUGAUAAGACAGGAACUCUCACCUUGAAUAAGAUGACAGUUGUGGAGGCACACUUUAUCGGGACAAGGUUGGAUCCUUGUGAUGAUGUUAGGGCAAUCUCAAGUAGUUCAGCGGCACUGCUUAUUGAAGGAAUUGCACAAAACACUACAGGAACUGUAUUUUUGCCAGAGGAUGGGGGAGCAGCUGAUGUUACAGGUUCACCAACUGAAAAAGCCAUUCUUUCUUGGGGCCUUAAGAUAGGGAUGGAUUUCAAUGAUGUUCGGUCAAAGUCUUCAGUUCUUCAUGUAUUUCCAUUUAAUUCAGAGAAGAAGCGAGGUGGUGUUGCAGUGCAGUCAGAUACCGGGGUCCACAUCCAUUGGAAAGGUGCAGCUGAGUUAGUGCUAUCAUCUUGCAAAAGUUGGCUUUCUCUGGAUGGUUCAGUUCAGCCAAUGGGUGCACAGAAGCGUAAUGAGUACAAGAAAUCAAUUGAAGACAUGGCAAAGAGUUCACUACGAUGUGUUGCUUUUGCAUAUUGUCAAUGUGAUAUUGAAAAAAUUCCGAAGGAAGACAUAGCUGAUUGGAAGUUACCUGAGGAGGAUCUGACUCUUCUUGGUAUUGUGGGCAUAAAGGAUCCAUGUCGCCCAGGAGUGAGGAGUGCUGUACAAUUAUGCAAAAAUGCUGGUGUAAAGGUGCGCAUGGUCACAGGAGAUAAUAUUGAAACAGCCAAGGCAAUAGCGUUGGAGUGCGGAAUACUAGAUGCAAAUGGUGUUAUUUCAGAGCCAUUUGUAAUAGAGGGAAAAGCGUUCCGCGAGAUGUCUGAAAUUGCAAGAGGAGAGAUUGCUGACAAGAUAACUGUCAUGGGAAGAUCAUCUCCAAAUGACAAACUUUUGCUUGUCCAAGCUUUGAAAAGGAAAGGCCAUGUUGUGGCUGUCACUGGUGAUGGCACAAAUGAUGCCCCUGCAUUGCAUGAGGCUGAUAUAGGUCUUGCAAUGGGCAUGUCAGGGACAGAAGUUGCUAAAGAAAGCUCUGACAUUAUAAUCUUGGAUGAUGACUUCACAUCUGUUGUGAAGGUUGUUCGCUGGGGACGCUCUGUCUAUGCAAAUAUUCAGAAAUUCAUCCAGUUCCAGCUUACUGUUAACGUUGCCGCACUUGUGAUUAAUGUUAUUGCAGCUGUGUCAUCUGGUGACGUGCCUCUAAAUGCUGUUGAGCUUCUCUGGGUGAACCUUAUCAUGGAUACACUGGGAGCUCUUGCUUUAGCAACUGAACCACCAACAGACAACCUUAUGAAGAGACAGCCUGUUGGUCGAAGGGAGCCACUUGUGACCAAUAUUAUGUGGAGAAACUUGUUUGUCCAGGCCAUUUACCAAAUAGCAAUCCUUCUUAUCUUUAAUUUCUCUGGAAAAAAGAUUCUACGGCUGCAGAAUGAAAGUCCAGAUAACGCCGAGAAAAUGAAGAACACAUUUAUCUUCAAUACAUUUGUAUUUUGCCAGAUCUUCAACGAGUUCAAUGCGCGUAAGCCUGAGGAAAGGAAUGUCUUCAAAGGAGUAACAAAGAAUCACCUCUUCAUGGGAAUAGUUUGUGUAACUACCGUGUUUCAGAUACUAAUAGUUGAAUUCCUGGGAAAGUUCUUUAAAAUUGUGAGACUUAACUGGAGUCUAUGGUUAGUUUCAGUUGCCAUUGGCGUCGUAAGCUGGCCUUUGGCUUAUCUAGGGAAAUUCAUUCCAGUUCCUGUAAGACCUCUCCAGGCCUAUUUCAAGCCUUGUUGGAAAUCAUCACGCCGAGACGAAGAGGAAGGCAGGCAGGGCUAA
rnacentral:rRNA from 1 species